rnacentral:lncRNA from 1 species
GUUUUGAAGUAACAUAAAAUUGUCAUAAAAUGAUAUUUUUAAAACUGUACGUAUAAUGGAUGAAAUUAUAAGUUAUAAGAUGUGCGCAGUAAAAGUGCGCAAUGCAAAACUGCGGAAUUACCUUAAUUAUUCGAUGAUCACAUUUAUAAAUAAACGUUUGAAGAAAUCUGCACAUGCAUGUAAUAAUUGGCAGUAAUGUAGUAAUUGGCCAAAAGCUGCGUUGUGAUUUCCACUCACAAUUUGUAAUUUUAUGUAAUACUAUUUAGUUAUUGUUAUUUUGUUAUGUAAUCUUAACGUUGUAACAAAGCUUGUAAAAUUAAAAAAUUAAAUAGUCCUGACAUUCUUCUGAAGAUAGUGUUGUGCAGACACCGAUUUUUCAGGUCCGGCUGCGUGGUUCACAACGCAGGGAAUAUACAGUCUAUAACCGGGUAAUAAACAGUUACUAUAGAUGAGGUUUUUGUGUGUCAAAAGUUAUGAUCAAGGUUGAGGUAGGUGUUAUCUCAAAAGUGGUUGAUAACACUUUUACCGAGACCUUCAUCAUUCAAGAUAUAUCACAAAAACCGAAUUCAACAACUGUUUUAUUAUACAUUGCAUUUUCGUUAUAAUUACUCUUUCGACAAGCAAUGACUGAAUUUGUCGCACGAAAUUAAAUAGCUUUUGGUUCUCAAAAAAAGCAGUACAAUAACAUGAAGCAUAUAUUAAUCUCAUUUACCUACUAAAGUUCCGAUAAAUAAAAAUGGCUAAAAGAUCUGCUUUUUGUACAAGAAAAUUCACAACCAUGUUUUUUCUUCUUUUUAACUGCCGCUCGCCAUAAAAUUAC